AACUCUGAUAUUUUGUAUUGUAAUGUUUUGUACGUAGCAAAAUGCGAUACUUGGUGUGAAUUGCAGAAUCCCGUGAACCAUCGAGUCUUUGAACGUAAGUUGCGCACCAAGCCUCCUGGCCGAGGGCACGUCUACCUGGGUGUCA
rnacentral:rRNA from 2 species